ensembl:lncRNA
UGUCCUCCAUAUUAUCGACCCUACUAUUCAGAGAGUCCAGAUUUUUCUUAAUCUCCUCCAUUGUGUUCUUCAUCUCCAGUAUUUCUAAUUGGUUCUUCUUUAUAGUAUCAAGCUCUUUUGUAACAUAGCUCCUGAGCUCAUUGAGUUGUCUAUCUGAAUUCUCUUUUAACUCGUUGAGUUUUUUAAUAAUGGCAGUUUUGAAAUGAUCAUCAUUUAGGUUGUAGAUUUCGUUGUUUGGGGAUUGUUUUCUGGGUGCUUAUCAUUUUCCUUCUGUUCUGGAGAUUUAAUAUAUUUUUUCAUUCUGCUUGAUGGCGUGGAUUUGUGCCUCCGCAUAGAGAUAGAGUUUAGUCGCUGCUUACACUGGUUGUGACUGGUGUGUGUGUGGGGGGGGGGGGCAGCUGUUUAGACUGCACCAACCAGGAACUCUGUCAGCUGUUACUCAUUGGACCUGGACCCCUCCUCAUGUCACAGUGGUCCUGUGGGGUCCCUCGUCGGUUAUGGGGGCAAUCACAAGGGGGCCUCAGGCUGCUGGUGACUACUGCUGCAGCCCACUUAGAUGCGCUCCCUCCUUGUGGUCUGCAGCGGUGUUGUUUGUGGGCUUUCCCAUCAGCCAGGAGCAGGAUCAUCUAUAAUCACCACUUUGUCCAUAACAGAGCCCACAAGAUCACACUUGUCCACUAUAUGUCCCCGCAGAGCUAUGGGUAUCUUGUGCAGUCUGUCGUUAGCUCACCUAGCUGUGCUGCUUUUGCCGCAGGGCCUUCCCGCCUUGCGAUUGCCAGUCAGGACCUCUCCACUAGUGCUGUGCAGAGGCUUUUGCUGAGGCUGCUGGAGGAACCUGGAGCUCCCCCCUGGGCUACGUAGCCAUUUCACUGGAGCUCCACUCUGCCCCACUCCACUCAUGGGAUCUCUGGGAGCCCCUUGCGUCAUCUGGGACACGGCCAGAGUCUGUGGGCCUAGCGGUGGCUUGUAAGCUGCUGCCUUGUGGGGAAUUCUGCUCUAGGGAGCUUCCUGGUGUUCCGAAUGCUGGGCGGGGCCUCCCUGCCAAUGGCGAGCAAAGGCCCUCCCUGCUGGGGGUGUGCAGGACCCUGGAGCAUCCCCCCGGGCCAUAGAGCCAGGUGUUGGAGCUCCACCCAGUCCCCAAGCACAUCCACAGGAAGUCCGGGCACUCCCUGCACCGACCCAUGCGAUGGAGACCGUGAGCCCAGCAGCAGCUUGCAGUCUGGUGCUGUGCCAGGGAAUCUGCCCACCAGGAGCUUCCCUGUUUCCUGGAUUCUGGGCGUGGCCUCCCUGCUAAUGGCGGGCAGAGGCUUUCCCUGCCAGGGAGGUGUGGGACCCCAGAGCCUUCCCCUGCACUGCAGAGCCAGAUGCUGGAGCUCCAACUGUGUCCCCAAGCACGUCUACGGGAAGUCCGGGUGCCCCCUGCACCGACUCAUGUGCUGGAGACCGUGAGCCCAGCGGCAGCUUGCGGUCUGGUGCCGUGCUGGGGCAGCCAGGAGAUUCUCUUUGUUCUGGAUUCUGCGCGGGGCCUCCCUGCUAAUGGCGAGCAGAGGCCUUCCCUGCUGGUGGGUGCAGGACCCUGGGGAUUCCCCCUGGGCUUAGGUGUAAUCACGGGGGGCUUGGGUAGGGCUGUUGUCACCUGUUUCCACCGUCGCUCCGCUGGUGAGUGCACACUCCCACCCUUGGUGUGUGGCAAUGCUAGGGGGGAGUCCGCUGGAAGAGAGCCUCCUGCAGGAACUAGGCUGUCUGGGGGUCAGGGGUUGGAGAGUUUUCACCUAUUUCCACCUCCCUCCCAGGGGGAAGUCCGUCCGCCUUCCGAUGUGUAGUAGCAUGGGACUCUUAGGCGUCUUGAGAUGCUAUCUGGAUAUCCUUUGUUAAUCAAUGAAUGUCCAAUUAGUUGUGGAUUUGACGGGGGAGAGACAAAGAAGACCACUCACUCUGCCAUCUUGCACAUGCUAGUUUCUUUUAUCAGCUGUUUGGGAUCAAGCCCUUAGUGUUACCGAAAGUUCAGUCUCUGAUCCUGAUGCCAAUCCAGAUAACAAGAAUGGAGUCUUGGGAGGAAAAGGAAAGCUUUUCUUUGCCAGGCAGAGGGAGCAAAGCAAGGGCCAGUGCCCCCAAAUGCUUGCUCCCCAUUGAGAAACGGGUAGGGGUUUUUAUUUAGGGUUUUAGCAUGGUCUGGGGGAGAGAGAGGGUGUGCAGGGCUGCAGUUCAGCUUUUAUUGGAGUUGAGGGUAGAAUUCCUCAGGUUUUGCAGGUUCACUCUUUUUUGGUAAAUUAAAACAUAAGACUAGGAGGGGAAAACAAGCAAUCAAAUGGUCAGGUACUAAGUCAACCAGAGAUCAUCUCUAAAACAAGGGAAACCUUCGGGGUGGGGCAGGCUGGCUCUUUAU